GUCCAGUCAUUAUUGGACUUAACUUAUGGACUCGGUUCACAGGAAGUGCAGGAUGGACAUCUGAGCCUUUUGGCGUACUAUCCUUGGGCAAGGUUUAAUGUAUGAUGACCUGACCCUCUUGAGGAGGUGGGCCUAGGCUCUGCAGUUCAGUAGAACUUAUGUAUUCCAUUGGAUCCUGGAUCUCCUCCAGUGUGUGAAAACAUUGAUGUUCCAACCUCAUCUUCAUCGUCGUGAUCGGACCACACAGUGGAGAGUAUUAUAGUUGGCUCUUUCGAAAAUAUGCCCCUCUGCUGCCUGUGAUGACCUGUGACUGUGGUUGCUAGGUUCCACCUUGGCAAGCAAGAGGGAGAGAAAAAAAAGAAACAUCAGGUUUGCUCCGACCACUUGUGAUUCAUCUAUUCAAGUAAUCCUGCCUUUGGAGCAGAUAUACUCUCUGCUCCAUGACCUUCACUGGACAAGCAUUGGUUUCAGGGCUGUGAUUUUCAGGUCCCUACUGUGUUUGGUGUG
ensembl:lncRNA